CAAGGUAGAAAUUAAAAUGGAACAGGCCCAACUUGAAAUUCAGAGACCAAUAGAGGAGCUGAUGACAUUGGUGGGAGACAGGUGUGGGAAUAAAGAAUGUUGGUAGAUUCUAGAGACAUUCCAGAGAUAACACAGACAGGACUUUGUGACUGACUGUAUGGGGCAGCUGCAGGGGUAGGAGAGAAGGAAGGAUUAAGACAUGAUGAACUGGGCUAUGAGGUGGCAGCUCUAUUGACUCCAGAGAACACAGGAGGUGAAAAUCAUGGGAGACUUGAUGAAAACACUUUGAGAGGCAUCAUGGAGAUAAAAGCCAGAAAUAAGGUGGGAAAUGGAAGCUAGUCAUUCUAGAAAAGAGGAUGGGAGGGUGGGAAGAUGAGCAUAAGUUAACAGGAAACAAGUUAAUUUUUUAAAAGUGCUUAUUUUUUAAAAAAAGAAAAUCAUGCUCAGCAUAGAGAAGGAGAGGCUUUCAGGAUAAAGAAAUGGGACUAAUAAUAAACCAGCUGUUCUCAACCAGGGGUGAUUUUGCCCCACAAGGGACAUUUCACAAUACCUGGAGACAUUUUUAGUUAUCAAGCCUGGAGGGUGCUACUGGCAUCCAAUGGGUAUAGGCCAGGGAUGCUACUAGACAUCUUACAAUGCACAGGACAGCCUCCACAAGAAGUAACUGGCCCAUAGUGUUAAUAGUGUGGAGGCCGAGAAAACCUGCUAUAAACCAGAGCUCUUGAGAGGGCAAGAGGGGAAAAAGAGCCUGAAACCCAGGUACAGAAACAGGAGGAAAGAAUGAACCUAAGUGGGCUGCAGAAAAAAAAAAAAAAAAAAAAAAUUAGCAACUGUAGCCCUAGAGGGCAACAAUAAUCAGUAAUUUGUAU